rnacentral:rRNA from 1 species
GAUGAACGCUGGCGGCGUGCUUAACACAUGCAAGUCGAACGGAGAAAGGGUAGCUUGCUAUCUUUUCUUAGUGGCGGACGGGUGAGUAACGCGUGGGUAACCUGCCCUUUGCAGGGGGAUAACAGUGAGAAAUCACUGCUAAUACCGCAUACCAACUUCUUUCGCAUGAAGGAAGUUUGAAAGAUUUAUCGGCAAAGGAUGGACCCGCGUUGGAUUAGCUAGUUGGUGAGAUAACAGCCCACCAAGGCAACGAUCCAUAGCCGGCCUGAGAGGGUGAACGGCCACACUGGGACUGAGACACGGCCCAGACUCCUACGGGAGGCAGCAGUGGGGAAUAUUGCACAAUGGGCGAAAGCCUGAUGCAGCGACGCCGCGUGAAGGAUGAAGGUCUUCGGAUUGUAAACUUCUAUCAGCAGGGAAGAAAGGGCCUAUGGCCUAUGACGGUACCUGACUAAGAAGCCCCGGCUAACUACGUGCCAGCCGCCGCGGUAACACCU